rnacentral:rRNA from 1 species
CCUACGGGAGGCAGCAGUGGGGAAUAUUGGACAAUGGGGGCAACCCUGAUCCAGCCAUGCCGCGUGUGUGAAGAAGGCCCUCGGGUGGUAAAGCACUUUCAGUGAGGAAGAACGCCUGGUGGUUAAUACCCAUCAGGAAAGACAUCACUCACAGAAGAAGCACCGGCUAACUCCGUGCCAGCAGCCGCGGUAAUACGGAGGGUGCGAGCGUUAAUCGGAAUUACUGGGCGUAAAGCGCGCGUAGGUGGCUUGAUAAGCCGGUUGUGAAAGCCCCGGGCUCAACCUGGGAACGGCAUCCGGAACUGGCAAGCUAGAGUGCAGGAGAGGAAGGUAGAAUUCCCGGUGUAGCGGUGAAAUGCGUAGAGAUCGGGAGGAAUACCAGUGGCGAAGGCGGCCUUCUGGACUGACACUGACACUGAGGUGCGAAAGCGUGGGUAGCAAACAGGAUUAGAUACCCUGGUAGUC